UACGGAGGGUGCAAGCGUUAUCCGGAAUCACUGGGUUUAAAGGGUGCGUAGGCGGUUUGAUAAGUCAGAGGUGAAAGCUAGCAGCUUAACUGUUAAAUUGCCUUUGAUACUGUCAGACUUGAAUCAAGUUGAGGUAGGCGGAAUGUGACAUGUAGCGGUGAAAUGCAUAGAUAUGUCAUAGAACACCAGUUGCGUAGGCAGCUUGCUGGGCUUGAAUUGACGCUGAGGCACGAAAGCGUGGGGACCAAACAGGAUUAG
rnacentral:rRNA from 1 species